GAAAACUCAGUUAACCCAUUGUAAUCUGCAUGAACGUUGCAAAUAGCUUCAAUCAAAAGAGCAUUAUCACUCUUGACUUCAACUAAGAGCCCUUCAUACAUUGUUUUCGACACUACUCCCCAUGCCCUUAGCCCAAGACAUUUUCGACAUUAGAAACUCUCUUAAGCUACUAUGUGCAUAUCAUGAAAAAAAACAAAACUAUUUCGG
rnacentral:lncRNA from 1 species